rnacentral:rRNA from 1 species
UACGUAGGUGGCAAGCGUUGUCCGGAGUUAUUGGGCGUAAAGCGCGCGCAGGCGGUGCGGUAAGUCUCUGGUGAAAGCGCUCGGCUUAACUGGGCGAGGGCCGGGGAGACUGCCACGCUGGAGGGGAGCAGAGGCGAGUGGAAUUCCGGGUGUAGUGGUGAAAUGCGUAGAGAUCCGGAGGAACACCAGUGGCGAAGGCGGCUCGCUGGGCUCUGCCUGACGCUGAGGCGCGAAAGCGUGGGGAGCGAACAGG